UACGUAGACCUCAAGCGUUAUCCGGAUUUAUUGGGCGUAAAGCGCGUGUAGGAGGUUUGAUGCGUCUUUUGUUAAAGCCCACCGCCUAACGGUGGAACUGCAAAGGAUACGGUCAGACUAGAGGAAGUUAGAGGUGCAUAGAACGCACGGUGUAGGGGUGAAAUCCGUUGAUAUCGUGCGGAAUACCAAAGGCGAAGGCAGUGCACUGGGACUCUCCUGACUCUGAGACGCGAAAGCGUGGGGAGCACAAAGG
rnacentral:rRNA from 1 species